UAGAGGGGGAGCAUCAUGGAGGGGCUGGGGAGGGGGGUGCUCCCCCACCCCUCCAUGACGCUCCCCCCUCCAUCAUGAGGU